GUCUACAGCCAUACCACCCUAAAUGUGCCUGAUCUCAGAAGCCAAGCAGGGUUUGGCCUGGUUAAUACUUGGAUGGGAGAGGGGUCUCACUCUUGAUA
ensembl:rRNA 5S_rRNA 5S ribosomal RNA